GUAAAGAGCGGGGCUGGGUGCCAAGGAGGCCCUUGACCCCUGUGGGUGCCAUGCUCCCUCUGAGCCUGGGCUCGCCCGAGCACAUAUGCCCUCUGCAGCCCCUCAUGUGGUGGCCUGUGCUUUUCCCUCUGGGGAUCCAUGCAAGAACAGAUGGAGGACAAAUCAGAAGUGUGCAGGGGGCUCGGGAGCUCUGGGGAAGAAGGAGAGCAGUGGGAAGAGAGCAUGUUUCAGGGAGGGACGCGGGGGCUUGCAGAGAUGCCUGCGGAGGGCAGCCCCACUCAGAAAGGCUACCCUAACUGCCCCCGUCCUCCCUCCCCAGCACCACGCUAGCCUGGUCAUGAGCCAGGACCCCUAUAAAGUGACCACGUUUGAAAAGCGCUACGCUGCGGCCAUGCAGUGGCUGUGGAGAGAUGCCGGCAUCCGGGCCUGCUAUGAGCGUCGGCGGGAAUUCCACCUGCUCGAUUCAGCCGUGUACUACCUGUCCCACCUGGAGCGCAUCACCGAGGAGGGCUACGUCCCCACAGCUCAGGACGUGCUCCGCAGCCGCAUGCCCACCACUGGCAUCAACGAGUACUGCUUCUCCGUGCAGAAAACCAACCUGCGGAUC
rnacentral:sRNA from 1 species